GGCUCAGGACUAACGUUGGCGGCGUGCCUAAUACAUGCAAGUCGAACGAUCUGGUAGCAAUAUCAGAGAGUGGCGAACGGGUGAGUAACACGUGGAUGAUCUGCCCUCAAGAUUGGGACAACCCACCGAAAGGUGGGCUAAUACCGAAUGUGACCACGCCCUGUAUCCAGGGUGAGGUAAAAGGUGGGGACCGCAAGGCCUACCACUUGAGGAUGAGUCCGCGGCUGAUUAGCUAGUUGGCGGGGUAACGGCCCACCAAGGCGACGAUCAGUAGCCGGCCUGAGAGGGUGUACGGCCACACUGGGACUGAGACACGGCCCAGACUCCUACGGGAGGCAGCAGUAGGGAAUUUUCCGCAAUGGGCGAAAGCCUGACGGAGCAACGCCGCGUGAGGGAUGAAGGGUUUCGGCUCGUAAACCUCUUUGGAGUGAGACGAACGUGCUGUCAGUUAACAAUUGGCGGCAGUGACGGUAUCACUAGAACAAGUCACGGCUAACUCUGUGCCAGCAGCCGCGGUAAUACAGAGGUGACUAACGUUGUCCGGAAUUAUUGGGCGUAAAGGGCGCGUAGGCGGUUCAGUAAGUCAGAUGUGAAAUGUCCGGGCUCAACCCGGAAGUUGCAUCUGAUACUGCUGGACUUGAGUACGGUAGAGGAAGGUGGAAUUCCCAGUGUAGCGGUGAAAUGCGUAGAUAUUGGGAGGAACACCGGUGGCGAAGGCGGCCUUCUGGACCGAAACUGACGCUGAAGCGCGAAAGCUAGGGGAGCAAACGGGAUUAGAUACCCCGGUAGUCCUAGCCGUAAACGGUGAGUACUAGGUGUUGGAGGUAUUGACCCCUUCAGUGCCGCAGCUAACGCAUUAAGUACUCCGCCUGGGAACUA
rnacentral:rRNA from 1 species